UAAUAAUCUAUACGAAACAAAUUAAAAAAUCUGAGAAUAUUUGCUAUUUUAAAAAGUUUAAUUAUUUUGUAAUUGUGGACCUGUCUUUUUUGCAAGACCAAGUUUCGAUCAUCAGUAGUUUUUUUUUAUGGAUUUCGAAUUAAAUUCGAAGUAUUUUUUGAAUAAAAAUAGUACCUAUGUACCAUGUGACUGAAUUCAAUACUUUUGGACAUAACAAUCGAACAUGGGAGCGCAACAAAAGUAAACUUUAUAAUUUUUUUUACUAAAAUAAACUAUGUCAUGUAAAAAUUUUAAAGUAAUAUUAAAAUAAAUAUUGUCGUUUUCGCUGAGGCAUAAUUCUAAUCUUGUUAUGAAGAUCUUCUUGCAGCAUUUGUGGAGAUAUUUUGUGGAAAGCGCGUCUUAUUAUCUGCUUCACAUCCUCGAGGUCAUUUCAUUCGAAUCAUCAUGGUUGAUCAACUUCUGACUGGUAGACUUCCUUUGACCUAUCCCCAAAGAAAACAGUCACAAGGAGUGAGGUCCGGUGAUCUGGCUGGCCAAUUAUUAUGCGUGCCGCUUCCUAUACAUCUAUGAUGAUAUGAUCGAUGCUACAAGUUACGCACAGUAAGGGAAAAGUGGGAUAGAUCCGUCAUGCUGAAGCCAAAUAUUUGGGCGGAUGUUCGGAGGAACUUCCUCUUAAUAGUUCUGGGGAUCAUUAAUUAUAAUAAUAGUGAGAAUUAUAUCAGAUUAAUCGCCAAUCGGAAUGUUUAGAAUCAAAAUAAAAGUCAUAUAGUAUCUAUGUUAUACAAAAAAUACUUCGAAUUCAAUGUAGAAACUGGAUGUGGAUUAAAAAGUUCGCUGCUGUUCCAUUAUAUAAAAGUAACUUGACCGUCAUAACUACAAGUUCACAGUAACAGAAAUAAAUAGUUUCGCCACAAGCACCACACAAUUAUCAAAUAAUUUUAAUUAACAUUGUCAAUUUUUCAGGAUAUUUUUACUGCCAAUACUUCCUAGGCAUAUCUUGAGACUUUUGCUUAAGUAUGUCAUAUUGUAAAGUAUUGCCAUUUAUUCAUUUCUUGCAUCUGAAUAAACUAGUAUUUAUGCAUUACUGUUCAAUGAAGCUGCAAAUUGGUUGAUUUAUGUAUCAGUACCUAAUCAAAAUUCCUAAUAAAAUUAACAUUUAACAAGUAGUGCGCGAAUUAUUUGCCUCAUAAAUUAGUUUAUUAAAACUUUUAUUGGUUUGGUUUUUUGUAGCAUUUAUUCACUGAUCUUUUUUAUUCACUGAUCUGAACAGAUCGCCAAGCCAUACUAUUUAUUUGGUCAACCACCAUCAAAGCAAUGUUGUCAACCUUAAAAAUUCAAGUGCUCACGAGGAGGGAAAUAAAUUUCGUUUUUUUUAUAUUUCAAGAAUCUCAGUUCUCUUAUCACAAACGCAACGUGUUUUCCACGUUGCCGAGUAUUUAGUAGCAGCUUGGAACUUUAUAAACACGUUUUUAGGGGUGAGGACAAGGAUAAUUGACCUCAGUGUUUCGAAGCUAACACUUUUGAGAUAAAAGAAAAAAGGGACCUAUUCUAAUUUUAUAAAUACAUGAACAAGUACAUGGUUAUUCAAAAGGUUUGUAAUAAAAGAAUAUUCGUGACUCGGGUCAGAACGGUCAGAAAGAAGAGCAAUAAUGAGAAGGUCAGAAAAUAGUUUUGCUGAAGCAAAAUGGAAUUUUAUUUUCUGAUUCGAUCUUAAAACAUGAGCUCCGCUCUAUAAUAACUUUAUCUAUUCUAUAACUUAGCAGAAUUAUUUUAUGAUCAAUUAACUUUUUUAUGGCAUAUUAGUUUUAUUUUGAAAAGUUUUCGUUGAAAAGUUCACACAGCUUUUGAUACUUCAGCACUCAGCGUCAAAAAGAAGGUGACUUAGAGUCUUCGGAACUUCAGCAUCACCAUCAUCUUCAAUCAGCUUAUCGAAAUCUACUGCCGAACGUAAGCGUUUGGUCUUGUGCUGUCUGCAUCAUGCAUUCAGUCUCUAUAUUUGGUCUGCAUCCAGUUGGUACUGAUGCGUUUUAGUCGUCGAUCCAUCUAGUGGGGAGACGUCCUCUAUUUCCGAUCUAGGUCUCCAUUCAAAAAUUUGUCUUGUCCAUCUAUCAUCAGAAGAUCCUACAAUGUGUUUCGCCCAGUUCCAUUUUAGUACAGCUAUUCUCCCAACGGUCAGCAAUUCCGGAUUGUCUGCGGAUUUCCAUUCCAUCGUAAGUUCCAGUCCUCUUAAAGACUGGAAGAACACACUGGUUAAAUCGUUUUCUUUCGGCAGUUUGGCAACUCUGCCUUAACGACAUAUUGGAUUUUUAGGGUCUGACUGGAAAUCUCGAGUGCGAGGUAUAGCAAGUUCGAGUUGAUUGUCGAGGAUCUCUUUGAGUUACCACUUUGAAUAAAAUAUUACAAAAUUUCGUAUAAAACCCGAAAUGCAUGUUAACAAAAUUAGAUUAUUUUCAUUCCUAAUAGUUAUAUUAUAAUUUAGAACGUGAUUCAUGCGCAAUUUACAUCCGUGUAGUAGUUGUAUCAUACUGAUUAAUUUCUGAUAACAUUUUAAGUAAAUUAAUGCUAACCUUCAGCACGUGCGAGUUUUACGAUUGUGAUAUAAUGUUCAUUACAUUAUGUUCAACUGACAACAAUUAUUUUACAAUUAAUAAUACUAACAGAGCAAAAUAAAAUUUAUUCUAAAAGUGACCUUCUGCAGCAAGCAAUCGAAAAAAGCGUUACGCCACUGCAUGCACAGACAAUGAAUUUGGUCAUUUGGUCGCUAAACCUUUUACUAUUGUCUUCUGAUAUUUAGCUCCUCUUCCGAUAGAUUUCUAUAACUUGCAAGCCUUUAAACGGUCACAAGAAUUAAUAUAUUUUCGACCUUGAACUUUUGCUCGGUUGCUGACUAUUCUUUUACAGUGUUUGGUUAACUUCGUAUUUAUUUGGGCUUUUAAAUAGUCGUAUAAUUUUUAAAAUAUGCACAUCUUGGAGUGGGUAUAAAAAUGGAUUGGAUUUCAAAGGCCUUUCAGUGGUGCUUUUGAUUUCCAUAUACGAUAUUAACACACUGUUUCGCAAUUACCCAGAAACCAUCACGGACCUAAAUCUGUCUCGAAUAACAUGACGAAAUUAUGUUUUCAACAUCAGAACAAACAACGUAAAUUGCAAGCAUUUUUGCACACCUCAAUUUGAGUUGAAUUUUUUAUGGACUCGAGGACAUGCAUGAUUGGAAACGCAAGCAUGUUUUGCACAUUGGCCUGCAUGCCAAAAAGGUCAAGUCAAGUUUAUUUUAACUUUUAUAAUGUACGUCUAAUCUAGAGGGUGUAAAAUACAAGCGGAGCUUGUAAUGAUUUUAUAUCUUCGGGCGUUUCUACGUAAGGGACCCCACCGCCUGGCCAGAUCUAUUUUAAUUUAGUUCAUUUUAUUUGUCCCACAUAGCAAAGCCGUUCUUCUAUUUGGCUUGCCUUUUAACCAUCUUAAAGGCACCGGAUAUUUGUCCUGAUGACUCCCCCGAGGAAGGGCUACAUACCUGCCACGUAUGUAAGAUACACAGAACACAACAGUACGUUAAAUCUCUAGUCUACCAAACAGCGGUACAAAUUGAGCACAAGUUAAUUAACCAAAUAAGAGUUUACAAUAAAAUUAUAACAGGGGAACAAACGUGUUUGGAAUUAAACGGACAGAACUUCGAACACCUCUUGUAAGUUCUCCACAAUUCAUAUUUGCUCAAUGAUGUUGUUUAAAGAUAUUGAUUGAAUUAACUGAUUUUUAAUAAUAAUUUAAAAAAAUUACUGUUUAGGAAAUAUCAAAGGUGUUUUGAAUUCAAAUUUUAUGUCAUUUGAAUGUGCUUCGAAAUCAAUCUCUGGAUCAGUUCAGAAAACUUUUGUUCUUGUUUCCCAUUAUUUUAUUUUCUUUGCAGCUUCUAAAUCACAGAAAUUCUUCACCAGCAAGCUGUGAAAUAGUGCGUCGCCGUUUGAAACAAAAACAGGAAUUGAAACUUAAUAUUGUACUAUGAAUUAUUUACAGAUUUUUCGAAAAAGUGAUUUGAACUAUUUUGAAACUCGUAGAUGUUCAUAUUUUGCUUUAAGGAUGCACCUUAGAAGACUUAAUUAAUGCACCUAAAAAAUGCGAAUUAUGAGCACAGAACCAACCUCUUUCUGGUUCCGGAUCUUUGGACAACACUUAAUACGGUCAGAACGGUGACGCAAACGGUCCACUUUUUUAUAUUUCUUCAAAGCAACUGCAAAAAAGUAUUAGAUAACCUACUUUUUAAAUUGUUACUUCUUAAGCUUGUACAAACUCGAUAUAUUUGAAGCACAUGAGCACUGGCAGGACUUGCGAGAUCAUCUCAAAAACCAACCCUAGUGUUGAAAGAUAUGGAUUUAUAUCGCGUCAAAGUUGUGACAUUCUGGAGACUUAAAAACCGUAAAUUAUUGCUGUUAAAGAAUUAAGAAAUAUAGAGUUCUUUUUAAGGCCCAAAAUCAACUUUUCCACGAAUUUUUUAGCAGAGUUAAAUAAUUCCUAUAAACCAGUGUUUUUAUUGAAAACAUACAUGUAUAUGAGAACUUGUACACUUUAAUUUGUUAUAUUUUCGUACAUAUUUUCGCACUGUUUAAUUUAACACUGCUAAAAAAAUAUAAGUUGAAAAAGUUGCUGUGUUUUACUUAGUCCCGAAUUUUCCUAUCCGUUAUCAUUAGGUAUAAACCCAAAAACCCAUAAAUGUCUGAAUAUUUAAGUUUCUUCGAAUGUAAUAAAUCCAUAAUGAGUAAAUA